AGAUAUAAGGACAAUCUGGAUGUUACAUGUCACCCCAUUUAAUCACCAGAGUUGAUUCAGCUGAAUUGGCUGUCUAGACAAGUGUUUCCUCCCACCUUACUACUGGUGUGUGCCUGGUGAGGAAGGUCAUGUUCCCGGUAGAACAUGUUGUUUAGUCAAACAUUUACUAGUAGCUGCACUCCCUGCUUGGACUCCAAAUAAGGGCAGAGAUAAUUCUUCUAUUUUCUUCUCUAAGUGUUUUGUUUUACUU
ensembl:misc_RNA 7SK 7SK RNA